CUGCCAUAUGAGAUGUGCCUUUCAUUUUCCACCAUGAUCGUGAGGAACUGUAAGUCCAAUAAACCUCUUUCUUUUGUAAAUUGCCUAGUCUCAGGUAUGUCUUUAUCAGCAGUGUGAAAAUGGACGAAUACAAUGAUUAUUACUAAAAACAUUUUGUUGUAAAUGGGGUAUGUGUGAUAAAAAGGAACCCACUCUGAGCGUGAAGUACAUUGGGCACCCACUGCAGAUGCUCAGACAUGCCUCAUGGAUAUCAGCAGAGGAAAUGCUUCCUGGCUGCCUGCUACCUUCAGGGGACUGUGCUGAGUGACUUGCAGACAUUGUCUCAUCUAAUCCUCAGAAAAACAUCAUUUUAGAAAUGAGAAAACAGCUAAGAGAGCCAUUCACUUGCAAGAGGAGAAGCUGAGACUUGAACCCAUGCUAAGACCGUUCAUUCACUGUCAUCUCUCAGAAAGGCCUUGGUUUGUUGAAAGUGAUGCGUUUUGAUCCUGCCUGCCCAGAGCAGGCAAGGGCAAGAUUCCUGGAUGCAACUUCUCUGCUGAAGAGAACAUUAUCGGCUCCUGAGCUCGGACUGAGACACGCAUGCUGACUCUCCCCACUGGCUCCCCUUGGAUGCCUUCCUCCGGCCCCAUCUGUACCCCUGCAAAGGCAAGACUUGCUUGGGAGGUUUUUGAAUGUGCCUGCCUGCAUCCAACGCCUGUGCAUCCAUUACCCAGCAGAAGUGCCGUCCAUUACCCAGCUGAUGUGCUGUCCAUUACCCAGUGGAAGUGCCGUCCAUUACCCAGCAGAAGUAGAACGUCGCCAACGCUUUUGAAGUCUCUGUGCCUCCUUCUGAAUUGCAUUCCCCCUGACCCCACAUAGAAGCUCUGCAGUUAAUGAUGAACACCGCAACAGCCACCUUAUCAAAUACUUCCAAAUGCCAGCCUGAAACUCACAUGGGAGAUUGACAGAGGCCAAGGACGUGUGAUUUUUAAGGCAGGCCAUAACUCAGGAUCACGAGCUUGGAGACUUGAAUGCAGCAAAAGGCAAACUGAGCUUGGCUCCUGCAAGAGCCUCCUGUAAACGUGAGCUGUGUCCCAGCAGCCUUCGAAGGUGGACUCUAAAGAGAAAAUGUCUCAAAGUAUUGUAGAAGAUGGCUGUGACUUGGAGUUGUGUUGGGGAAAAUUUUGCAAGCACAUUAUUAGAAUAUAUCAAUUAAAUAUGACAUCAAUAUGAGAGUUAAGGUGAAAUUCAAAUUCCUUGCUGGAAACAACCAUAGCAAUGACUCAUCCUAUAGGUCUUGAAUUAAAGCUAUAUUUCAGUAACACUGUAUAUUUCAAAACCACAAAAUGGAAGCUUUGAUUUUUCAUUCAGUCACCUGAAAAGUACUAUAACAGUAUUCGAGAGCAAUGAAAUUGCAUUUCAGAGACCUGACAUGAGAUAGCUAGUUGGUGUUCAGAAAGUGUUUGGGUUUUAACGACCCCUUCUGAUUUGUUCUUCACUCAAAGCUGCUGCCAAUAAGCUACUCCUAGAGGAUACUGAAAGAUCCUUUCCUGUUUUUAAAAGAAAUAACAUGCUUCAUCAACAAUUAUUACAAACUUUGGAAGGAAACGGUACUGCAGGAGCUCUAUCUCUUUUUCUCCAGUGAAAAUUGCAUUUCUAUAAUUCAAGAUCUAGUCACAAGGGCUUAAGCAAGACCUUGUGCCAGCAAUCAGGCAUGGAUCAAAUGCACUUUUGCCUUCCUAAGCUGACGGACAUUUGAGUAGCUUCCAGUAUGGGGCUGCUAGUGAGCCAGCUGCGAGAGUGUGUCACAUGGGUCACAGUGUGCUGGUGCCCAGGACUACUCCUAAUGUGCGUGAAUGCUCACGGAGCUGCUUGGAACAGCGCCGGCUGCGCGGCAUCGUCUGUUACCCUUCUGCCGGCAGAUGCAAGCCUCGGGCGAGAAAGGCCACAGCUCCCCACCUGUGAAAACCAACUCUUGUUUCCAUGAAAAGAGUUUUUAAAAAAGAUCAGCAACUGAGAACAGAAAGGAGGAAACCAAGGCACAGCCAGGAGAAAUGACUUGCCCAGCUCAACAACCAGUGAGGAGAGGUAUCAGGAUUCAAACCAGGCAGUGUGGCUCCAGAGUCCAUGGCCUUUAUCACUGCCCCCUACCCUUUGGCAAGCUCCACUUUUGAUAGCGCUGAUGUGAUAGCAGACAACGUGUAAUUGCCAAACUUUAGUCAUCAGCACGCUAGCUUUGAAUGGAAACACAAGGUAUGACCCAAUCUCUUCUUCUUAAGCAUUUGGCUGAGAUGAUUUGUCCCUGCUCUGCCCCUACCCCUACCCCCCUGCCACCCACCGCCCCCCGCCGGCGACCCCCUGCCCCUUGUCUUCCUAAGGAAUUGCUGUAUCACGGUCUAGGGGAGUUUCCGAGCUCUGAGAAGUUUCUCUACAGCUUCUGAGGUGAGGAUCCACCCUGCAUGAAGGAUACUGGGCCACUCAGGCCUUCUCCCACUCCGCGGCAGGAUCCUAGCGCCUGAGGACACUGGAGCCAUUCCAGCAACAAAUGGUAAGCAAGAUGGCCAGGAAGGAUGACUGACUCCCUCGCAGGCUCGGCCAGGCUUCAGGCCCUAUCUUUGGAUCUGUGUUCAUCAUGGUGAUUGUCAACUGCAAGCCUGAUUUGAUAGCCUUUCCUCUCGUGGUAUUACUCGGAGGUAAUGUGCAAGCAGAGAGACCCGGAUGCAAAUUCUGCUCUAUAGUUGACCAUUAUCUUACAAUGAUCUCAGUUUCCCAUAACACCAAUUUCUAUGUUUUCCAUUUAUAAACACCUGUAAUUCGCCUUGCUUGGCUUUGUGAUGUGUGAGUACAAUACAUUUGAUGUUAUAAUGGAAAUGUGCACUAAUAAAAUGCACCUUUAGCCAUUUGCUAUCUUAGGGAUUUCUGUAAUGCAUUAUUUAUAAGAAAGAUGGGUUUAGCCUUUUUUUUUUUUUUUUUGGUGAGACAGAGUUUCACUCUUGUCGUCCAGGCUGGAGUGCAAUCGCAUAAUAUCAGCUUACUGCAACCUCUGCCUCCCAGGUUCAAGCUAUUCUCCUACCUCAGCCUCCCAAGUAGCUGGGACUACAGGCACAUGCCACCAAGCCUAGCUAAUUUUUGUAUUUUUAGUAGAGACGGGGUUUCACCAUGUUGGCCAGGAUGGUCUUGAACUCCUGACCUCAGGUGAUCGCCUGCCUCAGCCUCCCAAAGUGCUGGGAUUACAGGCGUGAGCCACCAUGCCCAGCCCGGCCAUUUCUAUAAUUUUGAAAACUACUGGCUAAGGAGAAUAAUGGUGCUGAGGCUGGGGGUGUCCGGAGAACCAGCAUCCAUCUCCCAAGAAAACAAGGCGGCAGCCUGGGGCCUGGGACUGGGAGGGCAAUGAAAGAGCUCAGUGUUAUGCCCAGGAGUGAGGAAGGGCCGGGGGCAUCUCUGAGCCCCUGUGAGCACAGGAGCCCUGCCUGUCUCAGGUCUGGAAGAGGGUCUCACUUCCGGCUUCAAAACGGGCUGCCUCUCCUGUGCUGCGGUGAAGCCCCUGAGUAACAGAUGCUGAAGCCCGUGUGCUAGGAACUCAGAAGACGGGGCAGUCCCGCCCCUCCCUCCAGAUUCCGCAAGGGAAAUUACAAAGGGGUCAAGAUCAGAGGAAAUGUAGCCUCAGGAGCUUUACAGGAACCCAGUGGAGCUAAAGAAGGAGAAAGAGCCUGUGCUGGGCCUCUCUGUCCCGGAACUAGGCACAGCACACAGAGCCCUUCUUUUCCCCAGGUGUCAUGCCGAGCAGGUGCUGUGGGUUUGCUGUCUACCUGGGACUCGCACCCUUCCCCUGGUCCUACUUACACUUUUUUUUUCUUGAGACAGGGUCGCACUGUGUUGUCCAGGCUGGAGUGCAGUGGCAUGAUCACGGCUCACCGCAGCCUUGACUGCUGAGGCUCAAGUGAUCCUUCCACCUCAGCCUCCCAAGUAGCUGGGACCACAGGUGCUUGCCACAGCACCUGGCUAAUUAUUUUGUAUUUUUUGUAGAGAUGGAGUUUUUGCCAUGUUGCCCAGGCUGGUCUGGAAUUCCUGGGCUCAAACAAUCCUACCUCCUCGACUUCCCAGAGUUGGGAUUACAGGUGUGAGCCACUUCACACGGUGCUCCUGGCUCAUUUAACAAAGGUACAUUGGGCAGCACAGGCCGGGGCUGGGCUCUCUUUCUUAGGGAGUUUCUCCAGCUAGAAUGACUCAGGGAUAUCCUACUCUAACAAAAUCUUUCCCUUGAUUCUGCCUUCCCCUCAAGCUACUAUCCUAUCUCAUCCCGGCAACUUCUUGAAAGAAAGGAAUCACCACCCCAGACCAUUGUGUGUGUCUCUCUCUGACCUAACACACCUGGCUCCCUGUACCCCACUGCACCAAUGACAUCAUCCUCCGAAAGGUCACCAGCAACUUCCUGAUUUCAAAACCCAGCAGCUUUCUGUCAGCCCCGAGUCCUCACUGACCUCUCACCUAGCGAUUUACACUGGCAGCCACCCGUCACCGGGGGUAUGCACUUUGCUUCUGUGACUCUACCACCUGCUUCUCCCACCACCUCUCUGAUGCUUCUGUGCUGUCUCUGAGGACUCUUCCACCUAUUCUUGUUCUUCUUAAGGAAGACGGUUGUGUCAGUCUUUCAGGGCUGCUAAUACAAGGUAACAUGACUG
rnacentral:lncRNA from 1 species